CCCAGCCCAGCGCAGGGAGAGAAGAAAAUGAGGCACCCCGGGAGGGCUCAUAACUUCCUCUCCCUGCAUCCCAAACACACAGACACACACACAAUGGAGCCAGCAGGCCCCACAAGCGUUCCCUGGCCCACCCCACUGUGACCAUUUAUGUUUGGGGGGAAACAAGCCUGGUGGGCCAGGAGCAGGGUGACACAUAGUCUCCACAUCAGUCGCUGCCCCUCCCACUCCUUCUGGAAGAAAGGUGCGGCUCGGCAGGUGGCGGUGGCAUCCUGAGCGUCCCCAUGGCAACACUGAGGUCAGACCUCACUGUGGUGACCUCACUCUGGGGCCACUGGACUCAGGCUGGGCCGUCAUCGUCACGACGGGAAAUGGAGGCGCUGUGAAGGAGCUCUCCAGAAAAAAAAGGAAUCUGCCUCUUGGGGUCACGGCUCUGGGAAACAGUCGCUCCUUACUCGGACCGUGGCCCUGUAGCUGAGGCCCAUCAUCCCGCCGAAGGCCAGUCCGGAGGGGAGAGGAACCACAGACCUGUCCUGGAUCGCAAAGCCCAUUGUCACCCCUUUCUUGAACUCUGGCCUUGUCGCGUCUCCUCCCUGAGACUCUUGUUUGCUCAGGGUUGUUGUGAAGACUAGCCGGCCCCAGAGCACCACCGAGAGCCCAUGGCUUGAUCUGUGUGCGGAUCUGUGAUGAGCACUUCACACCCAUCAUUCUAUUGAAAUCUGUCAGGGAGGUAUCACGGGUCCCACUGUAGGGAUGAAAAACAUGGAGACUCACAGAAGUAAGAUGACCUGCUUUGAAGACACAUGGUAACUACAGCAACUGCUUAUGAGGCAUUUCCUUUUGGUUGCAUCUUACACCAGAAUGCUUUAUACUCCUUAUCUCGGUGUAGAGGAGGAAGUUAAAAACGUGAAUUCUGGGGCCCGCCUGCCUGGGUCUGAUUCCUGCCUCUGCGUCUUAAAAGCUGUAUGUCAAAAAAUGUUAGAUGGCAAUUACAUCUCAAGGUGGUUGUAUUUUUUAAAGCUGUGUGACCUUGGCCAGGUUCUGUAACCUUUCUGUGUCUCAGAGUUGUCAUCUGUAAAAUAAGAGACUAAUAGUGCCUCCUUCACAGGAUUGUUAUGAGGAUUCAAUUAGGAAUAAAAGUG